AGACUGAUAUCCUAGCACAUUUUCUGCCUUAGAUCAAUACCAAAGGAUUUUUUUCCCCUGAUGACAUGUUUUCAAAACCAUGAAGAUAAUAUUAGGACAGAAACAAAGUAAUUAUUUUUAGCAAAACUUCCAAAUUACCAAAUGAUUAUUUCAUAACUCGACUUGACUCUACAGCUUCACAAAGCCAACACAGAAGAAAAGCUUACUCUUCAGAUAUUACAUGCCAUAGACAAGCAUACAUCAUCUUACUACACGUCACUUCAUUGUUCUUCACAGAGCCUGCAUUUUACAUAUUGAAGGACUGUGGGACCCUGCCUGAGUAGGCCUCCUGGUGCCGUUUCACCAACAGCAUCUGCUUACCUUGCGUCUCUGUCACCUUUUGGAAGGUACCAUGGCCGACCGAACCUUCAGGAAGCGCCACCCUGGUCAGUCAGUAACCAUCGACAUCACGGCAAGAUCCUCCACCAGCGAAAAGAUGACAAUUUCCUGAAAGCUCAGAUGUUGGUUAGCAUUUUUAGCAAUCCUCUGGAAAGGAACUCCACUCUGCCAACAUCUUGA
rnacentral:lncRNA from 1 species